GACGAACGCUGGCGGCGUGCUUAACACAUGCAAGUCGAACGGAAAGGCCCUGCUUUUGUGGGGUGCUCGAGUGGCGAACGGGUGAGUAACACGUGAGUAACCUGCCCUUGACUUUGGGAUAACUUCAGGAAACUGGGGCUAAUACCGGAUAGGAGCUCCUGCUGCAUGGUGGGGGUUGGAAAGUUUCGGCGGUUGGGGAUGGACUCGCGGCUUAUCAGCUUGUUGGUGGGGUAGUGGCUUACCAAGGCUUUGACGGGUAGCCGGCCUGAGAGGGUGACCGGCCACAUUGGGGCUGAGAUACGGCCCAGACUCCUACGGGAGGCAGCAGUUGGGAAUAUUGCACAAUGGGCGGAAGCCUGAUGCAGCAACGCCGCGUGCGGGAUGACGGCCUUCGGGUUGUAAACCGCUUUCGCCUGUGACGAAGCGUGAGUGACGGUAAUGGGUAAAGAAGCACCGGCUAACUACGU
rnacentral:rRNA from 1 species